rnacentral:misc_RNA from 1 species
CUAAUGUAUCUUUACAAAGAGAGAGAGAGAUGGUGAAAGGUGAUUUUUUACUUCUGAUUAUAUUUAUAUCUAUACUAUAAUUAAUAGUACAUUGGGUGGGCAACCGUUUGAAUAAACAAAAAAGCACAAAGUUAAAAGAACUAAUUAAUAAUUACUAACCCAAAAUGUAAAUCCUAAUUAUAUAUGAAAACUUAAACCAAUCUUACUCAUAAUAUAAACUCCUAAUUCUAUAUGGAAUUUUAUUUUUAUUUGCAAAUUGAAAACCUAUUACAUAUCAUUGAAUUACCAUUGACUAUUGGCUUGCAAAGAUUGAAAGUUUGUGUAGAAUAAAGUGUUGUGUAUACUAACAAGAAGCAAAGUUUAGUGGAACUCAUCCUCAACAAUAUGAAAUUGCAUGUGAAUCUAU